rnacentral:tRNA from 1 species
AGAAAAGUGUCUGAAAAAGGUAGUAAAUUGUAAAUUUACCCAUGAAUUUAAAAUUCCUUUUCUA